UGUGAGGCAUGCUGGAGGUAUCAGAAGUGCGAAUGCUGACAUAAGUAACGAUAAAGCGGGUGAAAAGCCCGCUCGCCGGAAGACCAAGGGUUCCUGUCCAACGUUAAUCGGGGCAGGGUGAGUCGACCCCUAAGGCGAGGCCGAAAGGCGUAGUCGAUGGGAAACAGGUUAAUAUUCCUGUACUUGGUGUUACUGCGAAGGGGGGACGGAGAAGGCUAUGUUGGCCGGGCGACGGUUGUCCCGGUUUAAGCGUGUAGGCUGGUUUUCCAGGCAAAUCCGGAAAACUAAGGCUGAGGCGUGAUGACGAGGCACUACGGUGCUGAAGCAACAAAUGCCCUGCUUCCAGGAAAAGCCUCUAAGCAUCAGGUAACAUCAAAUCGUACCCCAAACCGACACAGGUGGUCAGGUAGAGAAUACCAAGGCGCUUGAGAGAACUCGGGUGAAGGAACUAGGCAAAAUGGUGCCGUAACUUCGGGAGAAGGCACGCUGAUAUGUAGGUGAAGUCCCUCGCGGAUGGAGCUGAAAUCAGUCGAAGAUACCAGCUGGCUGCAACUGUUUAUUAAAAACACAGCACUGUGCAAACACGAAAGUGGACGUAUACGGUGUGACGCCUGCCCGGUGCCGGAAGGUUAAUUGAUGGGGUCAGCGCAAGCGAAGCUCUUGAUCGAAGCCCCGGUAAACGGCGGCCGUAACUAUAACGGUCCUAAGGUAGCGAAAUUCCUUGUCGGGUAAGUUCCGACCUGCACGAAUGGCGUAAUGAUGGCCAGGCUGUCUCCACCCGAGACUCAGUGAAAUUGAACUCGCUGUGAAGAUGCAGUGUACCCGCGGCAAGACGGAAAGACCCCGUGAACCUUUACUAUAGCUUGACACUGAACAUUGAGCCUUGAUGUGUAGGAUAGGUGGGAGGCUUUGAAGUGUGGACGCCAGUCUGCAUGGAGCCGACCUUGAAAUACCACCCUUUAAUGUUUGAUGUUCUAACGUUGACCCGUAAUCCGGGUUGCGGACAGUGUCUGGUGGGUAGUUUGACUGGGGCGGUCUCCUCCUAAAGAGUAACGGAGGAGCACGAAGGUUGGCUAAUCCUGGUCGGACAUCAGGAGGUUAGUGCAAUGGCAUAAGCCAGCUUGACUGCGAGCGUGACGGCGCGAGCAGGUGCGAAAGCAGGUCAUAGUGAUCCGGUGGUUCUGAAUGGAAGGGCCAUCGCUCAACGGAUAAAAGGUACUCCGGGGAUAACAGGCUGAUACCGCCCAAGAGUUCAUAUCGACGGCGGUGUUUGGCACCUCGAUGUCGGCUCAUCACAUCCUGGGGCUGAAGUAGGUCCCAAGGGUAUGGCUGUUCGCCAUUUAAAGUGGUACGCGAGCUGGGUUUAGAACGUCGUGAGACAGUUCGGUCCCUAUCUGCCGUGGGCGCUGGAGAACUGAGGGGGGCUGCUCCUAGUACGAGAGGACCGGAGUGGACGCAUCACUGGUGUUCGGGUUGUCAUGCCAAUGGCACUGCCCGGUAGCUAAAUGCGGAAGAGAUAAGUGCUGAAAGCAUCUAAGCACGAAACUUGCCCCGAGAUGAGUUCUCCCUGACUCCUUGAGAGUCCUGAAGGAACGUUGAAG
rnacentral:rRNA from 1 species